GAAGAGGGACCCGGAAUUGGCGGAGGCGGCCGAGCCGGCACCAAGCUCCGUUCUCAGAGUGUGGUGAGAAGGGGAUAGCUCGCCGGAGAGCGCCGACUCUGGCUGAUGAGUUCUGAAUUCGGCAGUUGAAUCCUUCUCAACAGUCUGCUUUACGGGAACCUUUAUCACCGUCGUUCCCCAGCUGAUGAGUUCUGAAUUCGGCAGUUGAAUCCUUCUCAACAGUCUGCUUUACGGGAACCUUUAUAAACGUGAUCCGCAGUUCUGGUUCCGGAAUGAGGGAUCCUCCUUGCGCCAGUCCCGAGUUUUUUUCUCGUCCCGGAAUUCGGCACCAAUUGUUAUUAGACGCGUUCUCACGACCGGCCAGGAAGAACACCACAGACCAGAAUCUUCUGCGGCAAAGCUUUAUUCUUACAUCUUCAGGAAAAGAGAGCAAGAAGCAAGAGAGAGAGAAAACGAAAACCCCGUCCCUCUUAAGGAGCAUUCUCCUUCGCCUCGGACGUGUCCCUCCUUGAUUGGCUGCAGCCCAUCGGCCGAGUUGACGUCACGGGGAAGGCAGAGCACAAGUAGUCAUAAGAUACCCUUGGCACAUGCGCAGAUUAUUUGUUUACCACUUAGAACACAGGAUGUCAGCGCCAUCUUGUAACGGCGAAUGUGGGGGCGGCUCCCAACAACCCAGGUAUUUACAGCUUGAAAGACUGCGACCCUACAGAGACUCUUCUCUCUAAACCUGUCCCUUUGAUCCAGCUGUAUGCUUUCCUCCCAGUUGAUCUGAGCAAUGACCCUGCCUGUCUGUAAGCUACAAUAAUAAACACACCGAGUUUUCUCCAUCUGAGAACCCAGUCCAGCA